rnacentral:misc_RNA from 1 species
UUAAGUUCAGCGGGUAUUCCUACCUGAUCCGAGGUCAACCUGAGAAAAUGGGGUUUGAGGGCGGGGGCCCAUCACCGGUCGAUGCGCGCUGUGAAGCUCGUUGCAUCGGCGGCGACCAGGUCCCGUCCAUUAUCUUUCGGACCGGUCUCGCGACCCAAGGUCCAACGACAAGCCAGGCUUGAUGGUUGAUAAUGACGCUC